GAUGAACGCUGGCGGCGUGCUUAACACAUGCAAGUCGAACGAGGCCCCUCCUUCGGGAGGGUGUCCUAGUGGCGAACGGGUGAGUAACACGUGGGCAACCUGCCCCCGGCUCUGGAUAACCCCAAGAAAUUGGGGCUAAUACCGGAUAUGACCGCUGACCGCAUGGUCUGGUGGUGGAAAGAUUUAUCGGCUGGGGAUGGGCCCGCGGCCUAUCAGCUUGUUGGUGGGGUAGUGGCCUACCAAGGCGACGACGGGUAGCCGGCCUGAGAGGGUGACCGGCCACACUGGGACUGAGACACAGCCCAGACUCCUACGGGAGGCAGCAGUGGGGAAUAUUGCGCAAUGGGCGGAAGCCUGACGCAGCGACGCCGCGUGAGGGAUGACGGCCUUCGGGUUGUAAACCUCUUUCAGCAGGGACGAAGCGCAAGUGACGGUACCUGCAGAAGAAGCACCGGCCAACUACGUGCCAGCCGCCGCUGUAAAAC
rnacentral:rRNA from 1 species